rnacentral:rRNA from 1 species
AACGAACGCUGGCGGCAGGCUUAACACAUGCAAGUCGAACGCCCCGCAAGGGGAGUGGCAGACGGGUGAGUAACGCGUGGGAAUCUACCCAGUUCUACGGAACAACAGAGGGAAACUUCUGCUAAUACCGUAUACGCCCUAAGGGGGAAAGAUUUAUCGGAAUUGGAUGAGCCCGCGUAAGAUUAGCUAGUUGGUGAGGUAAUGGCUCACCAAGGCGACGAUCUUUAGCUGGUCUGAGAGGAUGAUCAGCCACACUGGGACUGAGACACGGCCUAGACUCCUACGGGAGGCAGCAGUGGGGAAUAUUGGACAAUGGGCGCAAGCCUGAUCCAGCCAUGCCGCGUGAGUGAUGAAGGCCUUAGGGUUGUAAAGCUCUUUCAGUAGGGAAGAUAAUGACGGUACCUACAGAAGAAGCCCCGGCUAACUUCGUGCCAGCAGCCGCGGUAACAC